CGGGAGGGAGCGGCCACCGCUAAGGUCUAAAACAUCCACUUGCGGCAUCCUCCACCAAUAAGAAAAAGAAUUUGCUCUGACGAAGAACCAGUUUCCGCCAAUGGAGACUCAAGUGGAGGGCGGUGUUUCAAAGGAGGCAUUGUUGGCUGAGAAUUAUGAAAACUGAAUCCAAGACUACAGAAAGCUAUCCUGUAUGCACCAACUGCACACGAGGAAGCCAAACAAUGCUCAGAGGCUGGAUGUAAUGGCACCCUGCCACGUACUAAGCAAUAUGUGCUGCGGUUUUGCAGCUCGAAGCAAACAGUAACUACAAAAAGAGAAGUUUGGUAGUAUUUCCGAUAGGCUGUGUUCUGUUUGGUGGACUUUGCCUCAUGUAGGGCAAAAGCUCUUUCUAGACCUCACAUAGAAAAGCAAAUUAUAGGGAAACAGCAUUAAUGUUAUUUAGUGUAAUUAGGAAAGGCCACUUUGGCAUACUGAAUGCAAACAGGCCUCCCCUUGGGGCUUAUACUGGAGAAUCUUUAACAAAAGUGUUCUUUUGGGGUGCUAAUUAGGCAGGGAAGUUAAAUUGGUGGUAAACAGAAUAAAUAAACCCUAAAGGAUUCCAAUUAAGUAGUGUGGCCAGAAACCCUUUCUUCUGUUAAGUUUGAGAAUCUCUCACUCCCUUGAUUAUUUGACAUUUUUCCGGUUGUCAUGGAAAUCUUCAUGAUUAGAACAAAUAACAGCUUUCUCUUUGGGAAAAAAAAUUAAAACUACUUCAAGAGACCUUUUGUUAAAGAAAAACAUUUUCUGAAAACCAUAUAACAUUUCUACAUGUUACAUUUUAACAUUGAUCUUUGCCCUGUGAUAGGAAUGAUUCAAGUGGCAGUUUUAGAUUAGGAGACUGCAUGUAAAACCUUUCAUUAGGAGAUAUAAAUUUCUUAUAUAUUCAAUAAAGAAUAAGGCAAUUUAUUACAAAGUGGCUUAAUUCACAUGACACACUCAUAGUUAACUUAAUCAUAGGUUUCAGUAUUUCAAUUUUCUGGAUGCACUUGUAAACAUAGAACUACAAACUACUGUAAUACAAAGACUGGGCUUGAAUGAAAUGGCUAGGCUAAAGUAUGGUUGGUUAAUUAUUGGCUCCUAGUACUGUGAAAACUCCAUCAUUAUGUAUGAAUUAACUCAUAAAUUAUGUAUGUACUAUAUUGUGCUUUGUGAAUGGCCACUAUCUGUUCAAAAUUUUCAUUAUCUGCACUUUUGUAUUUAAAUUAUCCUAAUUUCCUUAUACCUCUAAAGCAGUGGUUCUUAACCUUUUUGUGCCUUGGAUCCAUUUGAGAGUCUAGUGAAAUCUACAAACCUCUUCUUAGAAAAAUAUAUUUAAAUUAAAUUAAAAUACAUACAUGUGUAUCGUAUUACCAGUUAUGCUGAGAUACAAUUAUUAAAAUAUUAAAAUAUUUUAAAAUAAUAUCGUAAUAUAUGUGAAAAUGUAGUUGCAAUUUUCCACCCAUCCAAGUUCAUUAACCCCUAAAAUCUAUAAACAGAGGAUAAAUUUCAGGGAGUUAAGAACUUCUGCUGUAAUGUAAUAAAUGGUAAAAUAGUGCUAUAAAGUACUGUGAAAUAGUAUAUAAGUCAAAGUGCUAUUGCUGUUGAUAGUCAUAAAAGUUGAUAUAAAGUGUU